AUGGGUUACUUGCUCAUUUUAUUGUGACUGAACAUUUCACUUAACUUGACAGAGCUCCUAUGAUAAGAAAUCUUGGAUCUCUGGCUAUUUGGUUUUCAUCUUCAUGCUGCCUUUUUCUUUAGUCUUAUUGCUUGGUGAAAUCAUUUAAACGUACAUCUGAUUACUGGCCAAACGAUAUCUUUGUCAAUCUCUAUUUAUCCUCAUUGAUGAGUAUUAAUUUAAAGGAUCUACCAGUGGGGAAUACUUAAAGGAUUGGGAUACUAAGAUAAAUUUGACUCUUCUUGCUAGUUUGGCUCGGUAGGGAAGAAUGUUUCUUAACCUUCCACUCUCUGAGCCAGAAAUUCAUGGAGAGGUAUGAAUCUCUUUGUGGUGCAGGUCAGAUGAAUCACAUAGUUUGGUAAACAGUUGGUAAAAGAGUUGAAGUUGCAACCAGAUGGAUGAUAUGCCUGCUUUUGAAGGUUCCACCAGAAGAGCAGAAGCUUGCAGUCAUUCAACUGUGGUGAAUCUUAUUUUUAUGUUUUUGGAUCAAUUGACCUAUCUAGGUUGGGUUGUAGAGUCAUCUAGGUUUGUUUUUGAGAGAGAUGUAUGUCUAGACUUGGAUUUGAAUUUGUUCAAAUUUGGAUAGCUUGUGAAUUUGGUGGAAGAAUGUUGAUAUUUUUU